rnacentral:rRNA from 1 species
AUGAAGACCCUGGGCCAGAGCGGCGACGAAGACCCAGCGCCGCGACGGCGUCCAAAAUUGUCCGCGGCGACGGCGGCCAAGGCGGACCAAAUCGAGGACCUAGUCGUCGAUUUACUGCUUCUUGGCACGAUUCAGAGGGAGGUGACAAAGAGGAAGAACUUUAGGAGCAAUCCCGCUGCUCAGGUAGGCCAGCUGGGCGGCGGCGCAAGGCGCCUCCGUGGAGGUCCUGCACGUCUCCUCCGCGACGAUGCAGGUCGUCUCCUGCACAGGCGGCUUGGGUCCUGCGACGCGCGGAGACUCUCUCUGGGUGCUGAGGAGAACGGGGGAGGAAGACGGGGGAUGGUGGUCGGAGCCGGCGACGCGCGAGCGACGGUGGAGAAGUGA